rnacentral:lncRNA from 1 species
GAAUGAAGCGGGACAAGAUGAGAUCUGUGUUGCUGUUUAUUCCGAUGUGGGACUUGGGUUGAUUUUCAAGUCAGCUGAUGUGAAUGAUUCAUUGUAUGCGAAGGCAGUGAAUCUUGCAAAGGAAAGUGCUGUGCGACAGUACUGUGUUGAGGGCGACAAGGUGAUGCUGUGUGGAACCUCUGUUGCCAAAGAUCAAAUGGUGGAUCACUUGAGUUCAGUCUCGACGAGGACGUCGAGCUUAACAAGUGGGGGUGGUUUGUUAGACCCCCAAAAUGAGACAUGAGAGAUGUCGGGCAGAAUGCGUGUCAAGGGCUNNNN